rfam:Cyphellophora europaea CBS 101466 unplaced genomic scaffold supercont1.3, whole genome shotgun sequence.
GGUCGGUUGGUGUAGUUGGUUAUCACGUGUCCUUAACAAUCAAUAUUGUACGGACAAGGUCGCCGGUUCGAACCCGGCACUGAUCA